rnacentral:pre_miRNA from 1 species
CGUGGUCCGGUGCUGUAAACAUCCCCGACUGGAAGCUGUUCCCGUCCAGCUUUCAGUCAGAUGUUUGCUGCACCUGGCUGCG